UACGAAGGGUGCAAGCGUUAAUCGGAUUUACUGGGCGUAAAGCGCGCGUAGGUGGCCAAUUAAGUCAAAUGUGAAAUCCCCGAGCUUAACUUGGGAAUUGCAUUCGAUACUGGUUGGCUAGAGUAUGGGAGAGGAUGGUAGAAUUCCAGGUGUAGCGGUGAAAUGCGUAGAGAUCUGGAGGAAUACCGAUGGCGAAGGCAGCCAUCUGGCCUAAUACUGACACUGAGGUGCGAAAGCAUGGGGAGCAAACAGG
rnacentral:rRNA from 1 species